CCAGAGCCCGACGCGGGGCUCGAACUCACGGACCGCGAGAUCGUGACCUGAGCUGAAGUCGGACGCUUAACCGACUGAGCCACCCAGGCGACCCAGCGAAUAACGUGGUUUUGAAAACCACAGCCUAGAAACCUUGUUCAAGUUACAACGCUGCUUUCCUUCACCCCCUCCCCUGCCCCUGCCACUUAAACUCUUUGGAAACAGCUGCAUCAGUUUGGUGACCACGCACGCAUCCAGCUCUGCGGAAACUUCUCUCCCCAACACCGGGGGCCUCGAACUGCCCAGCCAGGGACGCUUGGGAGCCCACAGCUGCCGGCCAGGAAGAUGUCACUGCUGGUUCUGCAGGGCACUUGGGCGGAGCGACCUAAUUCAGGGUAGAUGGAAGGCCUCAGCCCUGACCCCAGGGAAACAGCAAUGGUGCACAGGCUCUGCUCUGCUGCUGGUCCCCAGUCCGAGCACACGUUGCCAUGACGCCCGGGAAUGCGGAAACAGCAGCUUCCUCCGCAGCCCUGUCUGGGGGCCCCCAAGUUUCUGCCUGGUGACAGAGCUGCCUGGUCCCAGCCUCGGUGUCCCUCUUGCUGGUCCCCGGCUCCCAAGGACAGGUUUGGCUUUUGCAGGGAAAUCUUUCUGAUUGGGUCCUAUCAGUGUUGACCUCUGGCACCCAAACAGGGUGCCCUCCCUGGGCUGGAGAGCUGAAAGCUCCUGUGUUCCUGUGGCUGGGUCCUGUCUCUGUUCCGUGCUUCUGGGAAGAGGAGAGACGAACGUCACCACAUCUGGUUACCUGAAAUUCCGAGACACCGCCCGUGUUGUCCGUUUGGACCGGGCCUGUGGAAAGAGACCAGGCCUCAGGGUUGAAUAGACCCUGGCUGUGGGCAAAUUUCUUCACCUCUUCAAGUCUCAGUUUUCCCGUCUAUAAAAUGGGAAUAAAAACAAUACUCUCUACCUCCCAG